rnacentral:tRNA from 1 species
AUCGCGCUAGCGCGGGUGACGGGCGGUUUGCCGGACCGCCCGGUUGCGUUCGCGCUGCAGCGCGACG